rnacentral:lncRNA from 1 species
UCAUUGCCAGUGGUAUUUAUCAAGAAUAUCGUUACUUUCCUAAAGUUGAUUCUUUGGUUGACUAAGACUCCUUAGAACCAAGAAUGCAAGCACAAACUCCGAAGGCCUAAUUAAAAGUAUGAUUCUUGCCCUGGUGCAUUAACACUAACUCUUUUGUUAGCAUCCCAUGAGAAGAAACACCUCAACUCAAAUCACAUUUUCCUACCUCCUCCCUUGCCAGUUCCGCCACUUUUUCAUUAGCUAAUCCCAAUUAAAACACUUUGUUACUAAAACCAUAAAUCUCUGCCACUCUCAAUAAGCAUAAAUUAUACGGCGAAUAACUAUAUUCUAUGUCUAUCCAGAAAAAUAACAGCUCCCACCCCCCUCCUGUUUUUUGCCAUCUUGGGACUCAGAGCUUCUAAGUCAACACUCACGGUUUUUAAUCUGGGUUCCCCACUCCCUCUAAUUACUUACCUAUAAAGUUAAACUUUUUUAAGGAAGAAAAUUACCACCAAGGCCCUUCUCUAAACUUAAUCAUAAACUGAGCUUUUUCUUCCUGUUUGUGAACAAUUUGAGGUAGUAGGAAAGGCUUGGACAUUAUAUUUACAGCUAACUCUGCCAUUUAUCAAUGGAAUGACCUGGAACAGCCAUCCUGGCUCACACCUGGGCCUGAAUCAUAAACGGAGGAGACCAACCUCAUGGGAUUUUGUUUCAAAAUUAAUUAAGACACAUGUAGACUGUGUUUAGCACAGUGCCUGGCACAAAAUGUGGGUUCAUAUUGUAUAAGACGAAGCAGUGAUUUUGUUUGUUUCUCUCAUGGUCAGCAAUUGCUUAACCCAACAUUUCAUAUACUAAACUAACAAAAAGGAACAUACCUCAUCCUGUGAUUGAUUUUCAAGCUCAUUUAUUCCUAAUUUCUCUGUGGGUUAAUUUAAUUAAAUUGAGCAGCCUAUCAAAUAUUGAUUUUAACAAAAUCUUGAUUAAGAUUUGAGCAAUUAUCAAACACACUUAUUCACACUAUUCUUGCAUUUCAAUAGAACCAACCUCAAAAACCAAUUUGCUUUUAAAAUAAAGAAGUGAUUUUAUAUAUAUUCUUCAGUACAUUUUCAGAAAUAGAGAAAAAAUGGCCUCCCAUUGUUGUCAUUAGCCAAGAUAAGCAGCAAUGUCUGACUAGGGUUUUGAAAAACUUAAUCCAGUGGUUAUCUCAUCUUCAAUGAAUGGUAGAAAGGGAAACUCAAUAAAAAAUUAACUCCUUUCAUAAACAUUGAUUUGGCUCCUACUGCGUACGAAGUACUAUUUUACCCAAUGCAAGUAGACGUAAGGAAAAGCUAAUUAUGCAGUAAGUUUUAAUGUAUGUGGAAAAAUUCAGCCACACUUAAAAGUUUUUGACUUUAUUAAAUACUAAUCAGAGAACUAUAUUUAUUCCAAUCCGUAAAACUACUCUGUUGUGUAAUUUAUGAAUAUAGUCUCAUUAUU